CCCAGUUACCGAGUGCGGUAUUUUACUCGUAGGUACCAAAGGCCGCAAGAAAGGCAGCAGCGCGGUAGUUUUCUGGUAUCUGAGCAAACACUUAGCACUAAACUCAGUAUCCAACUCACAUUCUGUCCCUAUAAUUAUGACUUGUAGCAAAUCCUGCCUAGCGGUGUCCCAGUUACCGAGUGCGGUGUUUUACUCGUAGGUACAAAAGGCCGCAAGAAAGACAGCAGCGCGUGGAAGCCUCCCGCCUUCAACACGGAGCUGCCCUCUAACUUGACGGUCCUCGAGGGCGAGACGGCUACCCUUACGUGCGAGGUUACGAGGCUCCGGGGCCGAGCGGUUUCAUGGAUACGGCAAAGAGAUCUCCAUGUAAUUUCCGCCGACAAUCUCAUCUUCACCACUGACAGCAGGUUCCAAGUUGAGGUUGACAACACUACGUCUGCCUGGCGGUUGGUGGUGACGCCUGCGCUGCGUAAUGACUCCGGCGCGUACGAGUGUCAGGUCAACACCAGGCCUAAGCUGUCAUGGACCGUCACUCUCAACG